rnacentral:misc_RNA from 1 species
GAUGAAGAACGUAGCAAAAUGCGAUAAGUAAUGUGAAUUGCAGAAUUCAGUGAAUCAUCGAAUCUUUGAACGCACAUUGCGCCCGCUGGUAUUCCGGCGGGCAUGCCUGUUCGAGCGUCAUUUCAUCCCUCAAGCCCCCGGGUUUGGUGUUGGGGAUCGGCUCUGCCCUUCUGGGCGGUGCCGCCCCCGAAAUACAUUGGCGGUCUCGCUGCAGCCUCCAUUGCGUAGUAGCUAACACCUCGCAACUGGAACGCGGCGCGGCCAUGCCGUAAAACCCCAACUUCUGAAUGUUGACCUCGGAUCAGGUAGGAAUACCCGCUGAACUUAAGCAUAUCAAUAAGCGGAGGA